AUCAUGCAGAUGUACUACUACUGCAAGAGUUCACAUUGCUGCACUGCACACAUUUAACAUACAUGUAGUGUUACAUAUGUAAUACUGAUUUCAGACAAGAUUUUAAAAAUUAACAUAAUAAAAUACAUGUUAUGUGUGUAAUUUUCAAUAUAUCAGCAUUUUAAAGUUCACUAAACAUGCAUUGAGACACACAAUUUUAAAAUUGACAUUGUCUGACACAGUAUAAUUAAUGAUUAAUACUGACUGUGCAAAUAUUAAUUAUGAUGAUUUUUUUUCUAAGCACCAUCCUAAGGACCAGUGCAAGUUGAAAUGGGCUUCCAGCCAACAACUUCAACAGCAAUUUGCCAUGAAAAUCAGCAAGAAAGGUACUUCAUUUACAUUGAUGAUGUCAUAUCCCCUGGACCCCACAACUUUACAGGUUACAGAGAAAAUUCAAGAACUUCUGCACAAUGUGGGACUCGGAUAGAAUCAAUAAUGUAUUUGUGAGCCCAGAUAUAUUGUGCAA